rnacentral:rRNA from 1 species
CAGCAGCCGCGGUAAUACGGAGGGUGCAAGCGUUAAUCGGAAUUACUGGGCGUAAAGCGUGCGUAGGCGGCUUCUUAAGUCGGAUGUGAAAUCCCUGAGCUUAACUUAGGAAUUGCAUUCGAUACUGGGAAGCUAGAGUAUGGGAGAGGAUGGUAGAAUUCCAGGUGUAGCGGUGAAAUGCGUAGAGAUCUGGAGGAAUACCGAUGGCGAAGGCAGCCAUCUGGCCUAAUACUGACGCUGAGGUACGAAAGCAUGGGGAGCAAACAGGAUUAGAUACCCCCGUAGUCCCUGUCUCUUAUAC